CAUAAUCUGACUUUGCGGUUACGUCAGUCACUCAGGAUGUAUAGUAUAUUUAUAGAAGGGGAUUGUUGCUUUUUCGAUACUGGCUUGGUUUGUAUCCAAAUGUAUUUUUAAAUUAGAAAAUUAUCGAUUUUAUUCACAAUGGGUAUAAUUGGGGUUCCGUCGAUUUUCCUCCAUAGCUAAAAAUAUUCAAUGGACCUACUUGAAUUGUUAAACUGUCGGUAUCAGGCCUUUAUAGUCAACUGGGGAAGUGCGAUAUCAUAUACCAUAUAUUCAUAAAUAAAACCCAAACUGUUUUAUAAAGAUUGACUCAAGCUGG